rnacentral:rRNA from 1 species
CCCCAGACUCCUACGGGAGGCAGCAGUGGGGAAUAUUGCACAAUGGGGGAAACCCUGAUGCAGCGACGCCGCGUGAGCGAUGAAGUAUUUCGGUAUGUAAAGCGCUAUCAGCAGGGAAGAAAAUGACGGUACCUGACUAAGAAGCCCCGGCUAACUACGUGCCAGCAGCCGCGGUAAUACGUAGGGGGCAAGCGUUAUCCGGAUUUACUGGGUGUAAAGGGAGCGUAGGUGGCAUGGUAAGCCAGAAGUGAAAACCCGGGGCUCAACCCCGCGGAUUGCUUUUGGAACUAUCAGGCUGGAGUGCUGGAGGGGUAAGCGGAAUUCCUAGUGUAGCGGUGAAAUGCGUAGAUAUUAGGAGGAACACCGGUGGCGAAGGCGGCUUACUGGACGAUGACUGACGUUGAGGCUCGAAAGCGUGGGGAGCAAACAGGAUUAGAUACCCGAGUAU